rnacentral:rRNA from 1 species
UAGGGAAUCUUCGGCAAUGGACGGAAGUCUGACCGAGCAACGCCGCGUGAGUGAAGAAGGAUUUCGGUUCGUAAAGCUCUGUUGUUAGGGAAGAAUGAUUGUGUAGUAACUAUACACAGUAGAGACGGUACCUAACCAGAAAGCCACGGCUAACUACGUGCCAGCAGCCGCGGUAAUACGUAGGUGGCAAGCGUUGUCCGGAAUUAUUGGGCGUAAAGCGCGCGCAGGUGGUUUAAUAAGUCUGAUGUGAAAGCCCACGGCUCAACCGUGGAGGGUCAUUGGAAACUGUUAAACUUGAGUGCAGGAGAGAAAAGUGGAAUUCCUAGUGUAGCGGUGAAAUGCGUAGAGAUUAGGAGGAACACCAGUGGCGAAGGCGGCUUUUUGGCCUGUAACUGACACUGAGGCGCGAAAGCGUGGGGAGCAAACAGGAUUAGAUACCCUGGUAGUCCACGCCGUAAACGAUGAGUGCUAAGUGUUGGUCUCAUAAGAGAUCAGUGCUGCAGCUAACGCAUUAAGCACUCCGCCUGGGGAGUACGACCGCAAGGUUG